GCGCAGGAAAAGAAACCAACAGGGAUUGCCCUAGUAACGGCGAGUGAAGCGGCAACAGCUCAAAUUUGAAAUCUGGUCCUUCGGGGCCCGAGUUGUAAUUUGCAGAGGAUGCUUUUGGCGCGGUGCCUUCCGAGUGCCCUGGAACGGGACGCCACAGAGGGUGAGAGCCCCGUAUGGUUGGACACCAAGCCUAUGUAAAGCUCCUUCGACGAGUCGAGUAGUUUGGGAAUGCUGCUCAAAAUGGGAGGUAAACCCCUUCUAAAGCUAAAUACUGGCCAGAGACCGAUAGCGCACAAGUAGAGUGAUCGAAAGAUGAAAAGCACUUUGAAAAGAGAGUUAAAAAGCACGUGAAAUUGUUGAAAGGGAAGCGUUUGCGACCAGACUUGCGCCCGUCGAAUCAACCGUCCCUCGUGGGCGGUGCACUUCGGCGGGCUCAGGCCAGCAUCAGUUUACUGUAGGGGGAGAAAGGCGCUGGGAAUGUGGCUCCUCCGAGUGUUAUAAAAGGGCGUUUAAUACCCCUCGGUGGACAAAGGAGGGCGGGUCUAAAACCAUGGUGCUGGCGGUUGGGGGACACCGACACGUGCUUGACACAAAAAAGCACUCUGUCAAUAUAAAAGCGGGUGCUAGAGUGUCCACAUCUAAUUUGUAAUGUGUGUGAAUUGCAGUGAGUUUUACUGCGAAUCUCGUGUGGUUUUGUUUUCGCGGAUAAUCUAAAGCGUCCCCGGGACGCAAGCUGUUUGCGAUGCGUGUUAUAUGCUGUCUCUGGAGAAAUAUCCCCCGGCGCACUGC
rnacentral:rRNA from 1 species